GUUAAGCGACUAAGCGUACACGGUGGAUGCCCUGGCAGUCAGAGGCGAUGAAGGACGUGCUAAUCUGCGAAAAGCGUCGGUAAGGUGAUAUGAACCGUUAUAACCGGCGAUGUCCGAAUGGGGAAACCCAGUGCAAUUCGUUGCACUAUCGUUAACUGAAUACAUAGGUUAACGAGGCGAACCGGGGGAACUGAAACAUCUAAGUACCCCGAGGAAAAGAAAUCAACCGAGAUUCCCCCAGUAGCGGCGAGCGAACGGGGAGCAGCCCAGAGUCUGAAUCAGCUUGUGUGUUAGUGGAACGGUCUGGAAAGUCCGACGGUACAGGGUGAUAGUCCCGUACACCAAAAUGCACAGGCUGUGAACUCGAAGAGUAGGGCGGGACACGUGGUAUCCUGUCUGAAUAUGGGGGGACCAUCCUCCAAGGCUAAAUACUCCUGACUGACCGAUAGUGAACCAGUACCGUGAGGGAAAGGCGAAAAGAACCCCGGCGAGGGGAGUGAAAAAGAACCUGAAACCGUGUACGUACAAGCAGUGGGAGCACCUUCGGGUGUGACUGCGUACCUUUUGUAUAAUGGGUCAGCGACUUAUAUUCUGUAGCAAGGUUAACCGUAUAGGGGAGCCGCAGGGAAACCGAGUCUUAACUGGGCGUUAAGUUGCAGGGUAUAGACCCGAAACCCGGUGAUCUAGCCAUGGGCAGGUUGAAGGUUGGGUAACACUAACUGGAGGACCGAACCGACUAAUGUUGAAAAAUUAGCGGAUGACUUGUGGCUGGGGGUGAAAGGCCAAUCAAACCGGGAGAUAGCUGGUUCUCCCCGAAAGCUAUUUAGGUAGCGCCUCGUGAACUCAUCUUCGGGGGUAGAGCACUGUUUCGGCUAGGGGGUCAUCCCGACUUACCAACCCGAUGCAAACUACGAAUACCGAAGAAUGUUAUCACGGGAGACACACGGCGGGUGCUAACGUCCGUCGUGAAGAGGGAAACAACCCAGACCGCCAGCUAAGGUCCCAAAGUCAUGGUUAAGUGGGAAACGAUGUGGGAAGGCACAGACAGCCAGGAUGUUGGCUUAGAAGCAGCCAUCAUUUAAAGAAAGCGUAAUAGCUCACUGGUCGAGUCGGCCUGCGCGGAAGAUGUAACGGGGCUAAACCAUGCACCGAAGCUGCGGCAGCGACACUAUGUGUUGUUGGGUAGGGGAGCGUUCUGUAAGCCUGCGAAGGUGUGCUGUGAGGCAUGCUGGAGGUAUCAGAAGUGCGAAUGCUGACAUAAGUAACGAUAAAGCGGGUGAAAAGCCCGCUCGCCGGAAGACCAAGGGUUCCUGUCCAACGUUAAUCGGGGCAGGGUGAGUCGACCCCUAAGGCGAGGCCGAAAGGCGUAGUCGAUGGGAAACAGGUUAAUAUUCCUGUACUUGGUGUUACUGCGAAGGGGGGACGGAGAAGGCUAUGUUAGCCGGGCGACGGUUGUCCCGGUUUAAGCAUGUAGGCUGAUUGUCCAGGCAAAUCCGGAUAAUCAAGGCUGAGGUGUGAUGACGAGGCACUACGGUGCUGAAGUAACAAAUGCCCUGCUUCCAGGAAAAGCCUCUAAGCAUCAGGUAACAUUAAAUCGUACCCCAAACCGACACAGGUGGUCAGGUAGAGAAUACCAAGGCGCUUGAGAGAACUCGGGUGAAGGAACUAGGCAAAAUGGUGCCGUAACUUCGGGAGAAGGCACGCUGGUGUGUAGGUGAAGUCCCUGCGGAUGGAGCUGAGACCAGUCGAAGAUACCAGCUGGCUGCAACUGUUUAUUAAAAACACAGCACUGUGCAAACACGAAAGUGGACGUAUACGGUGUGACGCCUGCCCGGUGCCGGAAGGUUAAUUGAUGGGGUUAUCCGUAAGGAGAAGCUCUUGAUCGAAGCCCCGGUAAACGGCGGCCGUAACUAUAACGGUCCUAAGGUAGCGAAAUUCCUUGUCGGGUAAGUUCCGACCUGCACGAAUGGCGUAAUGAUGGCCAGGCUGUCUCCACCCGAGACUCAGUGAAAUUGAACUCGCUGUGAAGAUGCAGUGUACCCGCGGCAAGACGGAAAGACCCCGUGAACCUUUACUAUAGCUUGACACUGAACAUUGAGCCUUGAUGUGUAGGAUAGGUGGGAGGCUUUGAAGCGUGGACGCCAGUCUGCGUGGAGCCAACCUUGAAAUACCACCCUUUAAUGUUUGAUGUUCUAACGUUGGCCCCUGACCGGGGUUGCGGACAGUGUCUGGUGGGUAGUUUGACUGGGGCGGUCUCCUCCCAAAGCGUAACGGAGGAGCACGAAGGUUAGCUAAUCCUGGUCGGACAUCAGGAGGUUAGUGCAAUGGCAUAAGCUAGCUUGACUGCGAGCGUGACGGCGCGAGCAGGUGCGAAAGCAGGUCAUAGUGAUCCGGUGGUUCUGAAUGGAAGGGCCAUCGCUCAACGGAUAAAAGGUACUCCGGGGAUAACAGGCUGAUACCGCCCAAGAGUUCAUAUCGACGGCGGUGUUUGGCACCUCGAUGUCGGCUCAUCACAUCCUGGGGCUGAAGUAGGUCCCAAGGGUAUGGCUGUUCGCCAUUUAAAGUGGUACGCGAGCUGGGUUUAGAACGUCGUGAGACAGUUCGGUCCCUAUCUGCCGUGGGCGCUGGAGAAUUGAGGGGGGCUGCUCCUAGUACGAGAGGACCGGAGUGGACGCAUCACUGGUGUUCGGGUUGUCAUGCCAAUGGCACUGCCCGGUAGCUAAAUGCGGAAGAGAUAAGUGCUGAAAGCAUCUAAGCACGAAACUUGCCCCGAGAUGAGUUCUCCCUGAGACUUUAAGUCUCCUGAAGGAACGUUAAAGACGAUGACGUUGAUAGGCCGGGUGUGUAAGCGCAGCGAUGCGUUGAGCUAACCGGUACUAAUGAACCGUGAGGCUUAACC
rnacentral:rRNA from 1 species